rnacentral:rRNA from 1 species
UACGUAGGGUGCAAGCGUUUAAUCGGAAUUACUGGGCGUAAAGCGUGCGCAGGCGGUUGUGCAAGACAGAUGUGAAAUCCCCGGGCUCAACCUGGGAAUUGCGAUGGAGACUGCAAGGCUUGAAUCUGGCAGAGGGGGGUAGAAUUCCACGUGUAGCAGUGAAAUGCGUAGAGAUGUGGAGGAACACCGAUGGCGAAGGCAGCCCCCUGGGUCAAGAUUGACGCUCAUGCACGAAAGCGUGGGGAGCAAACAGG